rnacentral:lncRNA from 1 species
AGAAGAAACUGCAACAACUAACGAGCAAAAUAACCAGUUAAUUUCCAUACCAGAUUCAAGUUCAUAACAAUCUCAAAUGGACCAAAUGCUCCAAUAAAAGCCACAUCGGAAAACUGGAUAAAGAGUCAAGACUCAUCAGUCUGUUGUAUUCAGGAGACCCAUCUCACACGCAGACAUGUACAUAGGCUCAAAGGCAUGGAGGAAGAUUUACUACAAAUGGAGAAAUAAAAAAGGGUUGCAAUCCUAGUCUCUGAUAAAACAGACUUUAAACCAUCAAAGAUCAAAAGAGACAAAGAGGGGCGGAGCAAGAUGGCCGAAUAGGAGCGGCUCCAGUCUUCAACUCCCAGCGCCAGCGACACAGAAGACCGGUGAUUUCGGCAUUUUCAACUGAGGUACUGGGUUCAUCUCACUGGGGAGUGCCGGAAGAUCGGUACUGGUCAGCUGCUGCAAUCCGACCAGCGAGAGUUGAAGCAGGGCGAGGCAUUGCCUCACCUGGGAAGCGCAAGGGGGAAGGGAAUCCCUUUUCCUAGCCAGGGGAACUGAGACACACAACACCUGGAGAAUCGGGUAACUCCCACCUAACUGAGACACACAACACCUGGAAAAUCGGGUAACUCCCACCCCAAUAUUGUGCUUUAAGCAAACAGGCACACCAGGAGAUCAUAUCCCACACCUACCGGGAGGGUCCCACGCCCACCGGAGCCUCCCUCAUUGCUAAAGCACAGCAGUCUGUGAUCUACCAAGGCAGCAGCUGCAGG